UUGGACAGCGGCCUAGGGAGAGGGGGAAGGCGUCGCAAGAAGAGAAGAGAGAAGGAAAGAGAGCUAGGGCAAAAGCUUUUCAAUUUUUGCAUACUGAAAUAGGUGCUCACCACAUCUAUUUAUAGGUGGCUACCUGACCCCUUAACUUGACUUGAUCUAAUUGAAUUCAAGAAACAACUAAACCCAAAGCGACUCUAAUAAAGGCCA
rnacentral:lncRNA from 1 species